AUUGAACGCUGGCGGCAGGCUUAACACAUGCAAGUCGAACGAGUGGCGAACGGGUGAGUAACGCAUCGGAACGUACCGAGUAAUGGGGGAUAACUACUGGAAACGGUAGCUAAUACCGCAUACCAUCAGAUGUGCCCAGAUGGGAUUAGCUAGUAGGUGGGGUAAUGGCUCACCUAGGCGACGAUCCCUAGCUGGUCUGAGAGGAUGACCAGCCACACUGGAACUGAGACACGGUCCAGACUCCUACGGGAGGCAGCAGUGGGGAAUAUUGCACAAUGGGCGCAAGCCUGAUGCAGCCAUGCCGCGUGUGUGAAGAAGGCCUUCGGGUUGUAAAGCACUUUCAGCGGGGAGGCGUUACCCGCAGAAGAAGCACCGGCUAACUCCGUGCCAGCAGCCGCGGUAAUUC
rnacentral:rRNA from 1 species